rnacentral:rRNA from 1 species
AUUGAACGCCGGCGGCAGGCCUAACACAUGCAAGUCGAGCGGUAGAGAGAAGCUUGCUUCUCUUGAGAGCGGCGGACGGGUGAGUAAUGCCUAGGAAUCUGCCUGGUAGUGGGGGAUAACGUUCGGAAACGGACGCUAAUACCGCAUACGGCCUACGGGAGAAAGCUGGGGACCUUCGGGCCUUGCGCUAUCAGAUGAGCCUAGGUCGGAUUAGCUAGUUGGUGGGGUAAUGGCUCACCAAGGCGACGAUCCGUAACUGGUCUGAGAGGAUGAUCAGUCACACUGGAACUGAGACACGGUCCAGACUCCUACGGGAGGAAGCAGUGGGGAAUAUUGGACAAUGGGCGAAAGCCUGAUCCAGCCAUGCCGCGUGUGUGAAGAAAGUCUUCGGAUUGUAAAGCACUUUAAGUUGGGAGGAAGGGCAGUAAAUUAAUACUUUGCUGUUUUGACGUUACCGACAGAAUAAGCACCGGCUAACUCUGUGCCAGCAGCCGCCGUAA